GGAAGCUGAGUGACGAAGACACGAUGUUUCCCAGCGGAGUGACAAAGCACACCAGACAUACCUGAGAGCAGAAAAGCCUAGUGUGGCAAUUACAACUGAACACCAGCUGUUCCAGGAUCCCCGUCAACAUCUGGAGCCACCAGAGCGUUCCUUAUUACCUGCCUGUGCUGCUGAAAUCCCAUCUAUCCUGCCUUAUUUUCAUCCAUGACCAGAAUGGGACUCUUACAUAAGGCCUCCGCUGGUGUCUGAGAGGCAGGAAGGAUUGUCGGAAGCUGUGGGAGGACAGGACAGAAAAGUGUGAGGGAACAGCCUGAAUAGCAAGAG